rnacentral:tRNA from 1 species
UAUAAAUUAGUUAAAUUUUAUAACAUUAUAAUGUCAAUAUAAAAUUAUAUUUUUGAUAUAUAUAUAU